UUAUUUUUGGUCUUUUUGUCCAUAUUUGUGAUUUCAUUAGUAUAGGGAAUUACUUGUGAGGGAACUCCCUCUACAAUGUAUAGUUUUUGUAGAAGCAUUAUUGAAGGCAAAUAGGAAUUGUCAAUAGAAUGUCCAAGUUGGAGUCAGGAAGAUCUAAAUUCAAAUCCUGCCUCAGAUGUUUACUAGCUCUGCGACCUCAGAUUUACCUGGGAGCACUGAGAGCUCAAGAAAUAACUUGCCCACAGCUACCGAGGUGGGACCUCCUCCCAGGUUUUCCUGAAUCUGAGUCCAGCUCUCUGCCCACUAUGUGCACUGCCUUCCAAGAUGUGUCAUUUCAUAGCAUUAGUUGA
rnacentral:lncRNA from 1 species